UCCAUUUACACUUUUAUUGCCUCCCAUCUCCACUGCAGAAUCACAGGCACAGCUGCUGGCAGAAGUAACCACACACCACAGAUCUGCAGGUGCGCUUGGCCCCUGUGGGAGAGAAUAUUAACCAUUUCCUGUUAAAUGGAACCAAGGCACAAAACUCUCUGAGAAGAGACAAUCUCACUGCCAUUCUAGCUUGAACUUGCAGGAGGUGGUUCACAAGAGCAGCAAUGGCCAACUUACUUAUUCUUUUGGGACACCCAAACUAUGUCUCCCAAGAGUGAACAGGAUGGAAUCGAAGGCAACUGAACCUAUGUAUGGUUGUGAAAGUUGGG
rnacentral:lncRNA from 11 species